rnacentral:lncRNA from 10 species
UGGCAGCGAGUGCUUGAUCCCUGCAGGAAGAGCGAGUUGGUGAAAAUCCUGCCUGGCUGGAUCAAGGUUAAGAGAAAGAACAAUGCCAUGGCGAGGUACUCAGAGCUGAGGGAGGAAGAUUGCUGCAGCCAGUGAGCUAAGCGGAAAGAAUAUCCUGGGCUUCCUUGGGAUCCGAUGUGGACUUGGUCCAGCUGCAGAUGAGGAAAUCCAAGCUCAGAAUGGAUAAUUCACCUAAGGAAAUACAGAUGGAAAAUGGCAGAGCUGCAAUCUAAACCCAGGUCCAUCUGAUAAUAAAGCCCAGGCUCUCCUCAACCAACUUCAGAUCUGGGAUGCUUCCAGUGAGACUCCGUGCUCCCUCCCUGUGUGGUUCCCAUGGCCUUUCUUUACCUCAAGAAAAUGCAGAGUGAAAAGCAAUGGUAGCAGAAGUUUCUAGAAGUUACUUAUAUGGCAAGUGCAAGUAUUUCAGAACACAUUUGAGAUUCAGGAAGGAGGCAAAAAGGCUUCUGCUGAGCAGUCAAAAUGACGAAGUUUGUAAACUUCACUUUAUUUGGGUCCCUGCUGAAAGUCUACCUACUCUUUAAAAACAAUAACAACAACAAAAAAUGGGAACACACUAUUAACGCUGUUCUGCACAUGUAUUUUUCAAUUAACAAUUGGUGAGUAUUCCCUUUUAGCGCACAUAGAUCUACCUCAUUCAUUUAAGGGCUCUGUAGUGCUGCAUUGUGUGAAUGCACCAAAUGUGUAUUUAUCCUGCAUUCUCUAGGUGGACAUUUUAGACACUUACAAGGGUUGGGGCUCAGAAAGUGAUAUCCCAAAGGCUGAUGUUUUGACAUGCUGAGGGCCCUCAGAAGCCGCCCCCGAACCAAGGUCCCUCUAACUUCUUGUUCCCCAUACCUGCCCCACCACCAAACACAGGGAGGGACUGUCUGUCUUUGGAAAUUUCCUCAUCUGACCAAGAAAGCAUCUUUCCAAAAGAAAUGCAAUUGUCUUAAACACCCUCCCUAGAGGUCUCAUCAAAUAACCAAGAAAGAUAAACCACCAGAAGAGAUGAGACUGGGAAUCAUCACCACACCCAGACAGACUUCAUCUAUUCUUCUGAGAGCAGCUCCAAGAGAUUGCCUGGAGGACUUUAUCUGCUUAAUAAGACAAGCUUUGUUCCUGUACAGCUCCGCCCCUCACCUUCCUGUAAUAUCUGCCUCCCACCUCCCCAGUCCAUACAUCUCCUCCCUCCUGUAUGAAAAAGGGUAUACAAGCUUCUGUGCCCCAUUGGGUUAUUGGGAAAUCAUUCUCCUGUGAUUCCCCUGUGCCAUGCACACUAAAAUAAAAUUUUGUAUG